GGCAGAGCGUAAAACAAGCCCCAGCCCUACUCCCGGCCCCCCAGCCCAGUCUUCCCAAUCCCAGAGGCCCCGGCGGCCUGUGCUCCUCACCACCCUGGUCAGGGGAAUAGAAGGAAAUGCAAUUUCCGCCUGUCUGCCCGACUUCCAAAAACUGCCUCCUCCUGCCCAGGCCUCUCCCACCACCACCUUCCCUCCAAAGAUAACCGUGUCCAUGCCAUCCGUGGCAUCAUCUCGAGUUUUCAUUUUUGGAUGAAGUGACAUUUAGCUUUAACAAGACAUUUCCAAAGCGCCUAGUCUCCUCCAAAAUGCUAACUUUAAAAGUUGGGCAUUGUAGGCGAAAAAUCCCAAAAAAAAAAAAAGACAAAAAAAAAAGGCUGGCGAGAGAAAGACAUUUGGCUAUGCAUAAAUGUGCACUUCCCCCAUGCCCCCGUUCUUAAACUCUUAAGAUGCCUUUGAGUUGCUUUUCAUGAAUCCUUUUAGUUUACCCGAUAAUGUUAAGAAAGCAUUAGUCUACGUUACUGUAAUUUCUGUAGUGUUUACGCUUUAAUUUCUACCACAAAAUAUGCUAUAUGCUAUGUAUCAAGCUUUCUGUAAUCAGAAAGAAAAGGUGCCUUAUAUCCCAAUGUCACGGCUACAUCCCUAUGGAAAUUAAUCAGAAGCACAGUGUGUACGGAAGCAUUGGGACUUCUGCUGGUGAAACAAGAGACCAUUCAGCAAGACACAUUGAAGUGGCACGGAGCUGCUUUUGUUUUAUAAUUCUUUUUUCCCCCCUUUUCCUUCUUCUUUUUUAUUAUUUUAUUAUUUUUUUUGUACUUUGCUUUAAACGGAAAGCACUUAAAUAGAUGACUAUGUGUAAAAGCUCUGUGCAAUUGAAAUCAUUUUUCUUCAUUUUAAAAAAAUAACGUAUUGCACACCAAAUGAACUCAAAGUAAGCUUUAGACCAGGACGAUUCAGGUUAUGAAUGAGUUUGUUCACUGUAGUUCCGUUUGUUCAUGAACCGAAGGGAAAACAGGCCUCCCCGACUCCCUCCAGUCUCCCAGCCUGCCUCUUGGUGACCACUGUGCUGGGCGUGCAGGGCCCGCGGGCUCUGGCCGGAGCCGCUGGCCUGACGAGGCAGGAUAGGGAGUAUCCGUGAUUCAGAAGCUGAGACCCUUCCCCAGUGUCUGAGGCCACAGCCAUCCCUUCCAGCACUUAAUCUUGUCUUGUUGAAAUGGACUGACUGCUACUGACCUGCCGGCGUGCGUGAGGGUGAUUAUAAAAGGAUGUUUCCUUGAGAAAAAAAAAAUUAUUUCUAUCCUCUUCUAUUUAUUAUUAGGUUAAUCAUUUAAGUACUUAUCAGGAGUGUAUUGUUAUUUUGUGUUUUGUUGUCAUAAAUGCUUUUUGCUGUCACUCUAGUGGUUACUAUCCUCUGCCUUCCUCUCCUCCCCUACUCCCCCAGAGAACCAAGGCGUCUGGGGGAUUGACUGGGGGGCAGAGGGGGUUUCCCCAGCAAAAUCAAACACCUGUCUCCAGAGUAGCCACUCAAAAACUGGUGGUCUCUAUGUGUCUAACUUUUUAAAUGAGAGUGUUUAUGAACAAAAAAAUUUACCAACGUGUGAGGGAGUUGCUGAGUUGAAGAAUGCUCGCUUGAGGAGCUUCAGAGGAAUCUUAGCAAAGCCAAGUUCAGUUCCCCAAAGCCUCCUAGAGCCUCUGGUAAGACUUCUGGGUUCAUGAAGUUUCGGCGAGCCGUGGUCAGAGAGGGCGCGGUGGCCUGGCCAAGACUUUACCUCCAAGCGAGAGAGUGAUUUCUUGCAAGGCCCGCAUGGGUUGAUACGUUUUGGUUGGUUUUUUGUUGUUGUUUUUCUUGCGUACAAAGUUGGUCAAAACCAUCUUUCAAAGCAACAGUGUUUUGUAGUACCAGGCUGUGGCUUGAGGGCUCACCUAGGAGAUCAUAGGCAGAGGGCCCCUUUCCCCUAUAGGUGGUUCAACGUGGAGGAAGGUUGGGUGUGGAGAUUGCUUGCUGUGGCCCCAAGCUCAGCCAGCAGGACACCCAGUUGUUGCCAAUCAGGUGUGAAGGUGAGGCGCCCUGCCUUGAUCCCAUGGGCCCAGCAGAAGGAAACUUACCCCAGGCCAAGGCAAGGGCCCUGCUCACCCCAAGGUAGGCUGGGAAGAGCAUCUCUUUCCAUAUCAUCACCUCCCCUUCUCCAAGAUUGCCGGGGGCCCUGAUUUUGUUCUCUCUUUGAAAGAAACCCUCCACCGAAACAAUGGUCCCCAUCUCCCCAGAAGCCUUUUUUUUUUUCAUUUUUCUCUAAUUAGUCUAUGCAUUUCUCUCUCUCAAACCAUCUUCUGCCUCUUCCCUUGAGAAAACGGGCAUCUCACGUACCCCCAUCUGAGACCUCUUGGAAAAAAAAAAUCCCGUGUAUUCUGGAGAUGUGAGAAUUCACCCAAAAUUCUUAAAACAUUGGAGAAUAGCUUGUUAUAAAAUAAAAGUGGGGGUAAAAAGAAGGUGGUUUUCCCCACAUCCCUUUGCAUUGAAUAAGAGACCUAGUUCUUUGCGUUUGUGCAAUAACUCUUUGCUGCUUGCCUUGAGAGCGGGUAGCACCACGCUCCUGUCCAGACUACUAACAGCACAAGACGCACUCACAGGGUGGCGGAAUCUUCCGGAAAACUCUCUAUAAGCUCAGCUCCCCCCACCCCACCCCCACUCUAGCGUUUUGUCACGUCUUACAUUUUAGCAGUAUUUUAUAUUUUCUGUAACGCACCAAGUCUUAGAUCUUUCUAGAGCUUGUUUGUUCAUCCUCACAAUCACAGAUUUUUUUCUCCAAUCCUCACAGAGACCCAAUUGACCAAAAAAGAAAAAAGGAAAAAAAAAAAGUCGUCUUUUUUUUUUUUUUUUGUACAAAUCGCUUUGAGAUGCCUCUGGUGUGUUGCUGUGUGACAUCUCUCUGGUAACAUUUUAUUUCUUGCUAUUUGUUUUUCUACAUUAAGAGUCAAAGUUGACCUGGCUGGCGUGGGGGUGGGGGAGGCACCCGUCGGCCCCUUGGUGUUGUCCCUCUGUCUUUGGUUAGCCAUACGAUGUUUGUUCUCAGCACUGUACAACGGUCCCUAUAUAAUACGGAGAAGCAAUAUCACUGUAUGAGACUCACACCAUGUAUUAUUAUUCACUAGCACCCUAGGUGUGAUAAUUGAAGUAAAUAUCUUUUAUACAAACACAA
rnacentral:lncRNA from 1 species